CGGGAGGGGGCGUCGGAGCGCGCCCACGUGACCCCCGGAAACCAUGGCAACCUCCGCCGGCGGGCGCCGCGCACCGCCUCUGGGAAGGUUGCGGUGCUGAAGACGCCGGCGGGCGGCGGCUGGCUGACGGGGACCGCGGCUUCGCGCGCGCCGGGCACGGGCCCCGCUCGGCACUGCCCCAGGGGGCCCCCAGGCACGCCUCGCCGUCCACCUGUCCGCGCCUGCGGGCGGGCGGGCCGCCGGCCGAAUUCCACAAGUCAGUCAGCAAGGCGAGCCGCGCGGAGCUGCUGCCACGCGAUUGGCCCGGAAACUUCAGCCUCCACCUCGGCACUGUCUGGUACUUCAAGACUAUGAAAGAUUUUGUUUUCUAAGGAAAUGUGUUGUUCACCACGGAUCUAAUAGCAUAAACCGGUUGUCUUAAAGGGUUGGACACAAGCUACAAAUCAUAUAAACUCCACAAAAUGAAUUUCUUCUUCUCCUUGAUAGAUUCCCACUGGGCUGACUGCCUCCUUGGUGUCACACACAGAUUCCCCAACCCCAGCCUGCCUGCCUUCUCCUUGCCAUUCUAUACCAGCAUCUGAC